UGGCAGAAUAUUUGGGGACAAAGUAGACACAGCUGGAAUCAAAUGAACAUAAUUAACACGAGGAGAAACUGGGUCAUGGGGAGCAAAACACAC